AGAGUUUGAUUCUGGCUCAGAACGAACGCUGGCGGCGUGGAUAAGACAUGCAAGUCGAACGAGAGAAUUGCUAGCUUGCUAAUAAUUCUCUAGUGGCGCACGGGUGAGUAACACGUGAGUAACCUGCCCCCAAGAGUGGGAUAGCCCCGGGAAACUGGGAUUAAUACCGCAUAAAAUCGCAAGAUUAAAGCAGCAAUGCGCUUGGGGAUGGGCUCGCGUCCUAUUAGUUAGUUGGUGAGGUAACGGCUCACCAAGGCGAUGACGGGUAGCCGGUCUGAGAGGAUGUCCGGCCACACUGGAACUGAGACACGGUCCAGACACCUACGGGUGGCAGCAGUCGAGAAUCAUUCACAAUGGGGGAAACCCUGAUGGUGCGACGCCGCGUGGGGGAAUGAAGGUCUUCGGAUUGUAAACCCCUGUCAUGUGGGAGCAAAUUAAAAAGAUAGUACCACAAGAGGAAGAGACGGCUAACUCUGUGCCAGCAGCCGCGGUAAUACAGAGGUCUCAAGCGUUGUUCGGAAUCACUGGGCGUAAAGCGUGCGUAGGCGGUUUCGUAAGUCGUGUGUGAAAGGCGGGGGCUCAACCCCCGGACUGCACAUGAUACUGCGAGACUAGAGUAAUGGAGGGGGAACCGGAAUUCUCGGUGUAGCAGUGAAAUGCGUAGAUAUCGAGAGGAACACUCGUGGCGAAGGCGGGUUCCUGGACAUUAACUGACGCUGAGGCACGAAGGCCAGGGGAGCGAAAGGGAUUAGAUACCCCUGUAGUCCUGGCAGUAAACGGUGCACGCUUGGUGUGCGGGGAAUCGACCCCCUGCGUGCCGGAGCUAACGCGUUAAGCGUGCCGCCUGGGGAGUACGGUCGCAAGAUUAAAACUCAAAGAAAUUGACGGGGACCCGCACAAGCGGUGGAGUAUGUGGCUUAAUUCGAUGCAACGCGAAGAACCUUACCUGGGCUUGACAUGUAAUGAACAACAUGUGAAAGCAUGCGACUCUUCGGAGGCGUUACACAGGUGCUGCAUGGCCGUCGUCAGCUCGUGUCGUGAGAUGUUUGGUUAAGUCCAGCA
rnacentral:rRNA from 1 species